CACGGGGGGAGCAAGCGUUGUUCGGAAUCACUGGGCGUAAAGGGCGUGUAGGCGGCCAGGUAGGUCAGCUGUGAAAACUCGAGGCUCAACCUCGAGACGUCGGUUGAAACCACCUGGCUAGAGUCCGGAAGAGGAGAGUGGAAUUCCUGGUGUAGCGGUGAAAUGCGCAGAUAUCAGGAAGAACACCCGUGGCGAAGGCGGCUCUCUGGGACGGUACUGACGCUGAGACGCGAAAGCGUGGGGAGCGAACAGG
rnacentral:rRNA from 1 species